rnacentral:rRNA from 1 species
GAUGAACGCUGGCGGCGUGCCUAAUACAUGCAAGUCGAGCGAACAGACGAGGAGCUUGCUCCUCUGACGUUAGCGGCGGACGGGUGAGUAACACGUGGAUAACCUACCUAUAAGACUGGGAUAACUUCGGGAAACCGGAGAUAAUACCGGAUAAUAUAUUGAACCGCAUGGUUCAAUAGUGAAAGACGGUUUUGCUGUCACUUAUAGAUGGAUCCGCGCCGCAUUAGCUAGUUGGUAAGGUAACGGCUUACCAAGGCAACGAUGCGUAGCCGACCUGAGAGGGUGAUCGGCCACACUGGAACUGAGACACGGUCCAGACUCCUACGGGAGGCAGCAGUAGGGAAUCUUCCGCAAUGGGCGAAAGCUUGACGGAGCAACGCCGCGUGAGUGAUGAAGGUCUUCGGAUCGUAAAACUCUGUUAUUAGGAAAGAACAAAUGUGUAAGUAACUAUGCACGUCUUGACGGUACCUAAUCAGAAAGCCACGGCUAACUACGUG